rnacentral:rRNA from 1 species
CCUACGGGAGGCUGCAGUAGGGAAUAUUGCUCAAUGGGGGAAACCCUGAAGCAGCAACGCCGCGUGGAGGAUGAAGGUUUUCGGAUUGUAAACUCCUUUUGUUAGAGAAGAUAAUGACGGUAUCUAACGAAUAAGCACCGGCUAACUCCGUGCCAGCAGCCGCGGUAAUACGGAGGGUGCAAGCGUUACUCGGAAUCAAUGGGCGUAAAGAGCGCGUAGGCGGGAUAGCAAGUCAGAUGUGAAAUCCUAUGGCUUAACCAUAGAACUGCAUUUGAAACUGUUAUUCUAGAGUAUGGGAGAGGUAGGUGGAAUUCUUGGUGUAGGGGUAAAAUCCGUAGAGAUCAAGAGGAAUACUCAUGGCGAAGGCGACCUACUAGAACAUAACUGACGCUGAUGCGCGAAAGCGUGGGGAGCAAACAGGAUUAGAUACCCGAGUAGUC